rnacentral:rRNA from 1 species
UACGUAGGGUGCGAGCGUUGUCCGGAAUUAUUGGGCGUAAAGGGCUCGUAGGCGGUUUGUUGCGUCUGCUGUGAAAGCCCGGGGCUUAACCCCGGGUCUGCAGUGGAUACGGGCAGGCUAGAGUCCGGCAGGGGAGACUGGAAUUCCUGGUGUAGCGGUGGAAUGCGCAGAUAUCAGGAGGAACACCGGUGGCGAAGGCGGAUCUCUGGGCCAUUACUGACGCUGAGGAGCGAAAGCGUGGGGAGCGAACAGG